UUUUCAGCACUUUGUCGUGACACACUCGGUCUUUCCGUUGACUGCACUUAAGUCCGUUUAUGCGGCACCGUUAUAUUUAGUAGUCUGGUGUAAGUGCUCGCGAAAGGACAUUCAAGUGUUUCGAGCGCGGAAAACUCAUAUUUAUUACCCACAUGGCGUUCACAGAAGGGGGAGUGCCAUUUAAAUGAAGCCGAACCCACUGUUGUGUUGGCUUCUCGGUGCGAGUUCAGCGACUAGCCGUGACUGUGUUUUCAAACUCAUCGGUGAUUGGUUUAUGUGGCGGCUGCAUUGAAUUGCUGUGAAAUGUAAACAUAUGAAACUGAUAGAGUGUUUAGAACGGUUAGUAAAGGUACACGUGUCUAGUUUGCUAUAUAUGCCGUCUACCAUAAAUGCGGUAUAAAAUCUCAUUUCCGCUGACCGGAAACCAUAAAUUCGAUUGAAAUGCGUCGCGGAAGAAUAGUUAUAGUUUGCAAUUUGCAAUUAAAGUGAGUUCACUCGCGCUGACGAGGUGCAAACUAAAAAUGCCAUAAUUCAUGAAUAAUUGCAGAUGCAAGUGCAAGUGUAUUUAAAGUGAGUACAAAGCGAUGCAAGGUGCUUAAGCGAAAUAUGCGAAGCAAUUAUGCAUCAAUUCCUCUAAGUGUAAUGUUCAAAAUAUCAUAAAAACGUAAAAUAAUGUACAGCAAAUGCAAGCAAGCCAUCGCAGUUGUUAAAAAUCACAGAAGAGUGCGACGAUUCGAUUAAAUGUCUCCAAGCCAUGCGCGCCGUGUCCAUGACCGCAGUGUUGUCACACGUACAUAUAUAUGUCUGAGUGGUUUAAUUAAUUUUUUAAAGUGUCCAGUGGAAGCUCACAAUCGCCGUAGCGAUUACUCAAAGUCAAUAAAUCACACACAUACAGACAUAGAAGAACUAGUGGGGGGGUUUCCCUUGAAGUAACUACUCGUUGUUGUAUUUUGCUCAAACAAAGUAAUGACCAUCGAAUAGGCGAUUGAGUACAUAGCAAAAGCAAAGUCCGGUUCGUGUGCGCGUGUGUUGAAGGCCACAAUUCGUGUCAACGCAAGUGAAAUCACGCAGCAACAGCUGCGCAGCGCCCCUCCGUGCACAUGAAGCAGGAAAAAUCGAAGGGCCCUGCAACAACAGCAACAGCUUUUCAUCAGUUGGUGAUCGGCCGUCAAAUAUCAGCCGUCAGUCGGUGUAGCGGCUGAGUUGGGUGGCGUCCUUCACGCGUCGCCAUUGCCGGAAACAACAAACAAUUUCUGACAACAAUCGAAAUAAUAAUAAUAAUAACACCAACAACAAUAUAAACAAAAGAAAGUCUUCAGCAGCUUUUCAGCUCUUCUCCAUUCUGCCAGCCGAAUUUUGGUUCGGUUUUUCGACUAUCGACGCCGCGCCGUUAACUGUCGGCUGUCGCCUUCGUCGUCCUCGCUGUCGUCGCGAUUGCCAUCAUUUUGGUAAUUGCGACAUCCUUUCGCAGGCGCAGCACUAGACGCAGCCAAGCAGCUCUAGCAAACACGAAAAAACAGCAAAAAACGGCAAAUUUCUGAAUUUUGCAUGAAAUGUUGCUGGAAUACGUAAUGACGCUGCUUGUGUUCGGAUUAACCACAACCGUUGAGCGGAGCCACAGCGACGCAUUCGCUUUUGAGGGUACAACCAGAUAUCCGCCACAUCACCAUCGUCCGCCGUCGCCAAAUGCACUCACAUCAACAGCACACCAUCUCCAACAACACCGUUUUGAAUCAAUGUCACUGGCAGCCCAUUUGGUAGGCUCCUCACCUGCGACAUUGUCAUCCCUUUCGCUUGCAUCACUAUCGCAGCUGGAGCUGUCCAACACCAUCAUGGAUAGCUUCGAAGGUGUGGGAGGGGGCGGUGGCGAACCGCAUUUUGAGAAUACCACCGAGCGAGAAGUGAUUGCGGCCGUCGGCACAACCGCUCGUUUGCAUUGCCGGGUGCGGAAUCUGGGCGAUCGGGCGGUCUCAUGGAUACGUAAGCGUGACCUGCACAUUCUCACCAUCGGCAUCAUGACCUACACGAACGAUCAGCGCUUUCUGGCGCGGCACAUCGACAACUCGGACGAGUGGGUGCUGAAGGUGGUAUCGGUGCAGCCGCGCGAUGCCGGCAUCUAUGAGUGUCAGGUGUCGACAGAGCCGAAAAUCAGUCAGGCGUACAAGCUGAUGGUUGUGACAUCAAAAGCGCAAAUUCUGUCGAACCGCGAGCUCUUCAUCCAAAGUGGCAGCGACAUCAAUCUGACGUGCAUCGCACCGCAGGCGCCCGGGCCGUACACGCAUAUGAUGUGGUACAAGGACAGCGAAUUAAUUAACGACUCAACGCGCGGCGGCAUACGCGUCGUGUCGGAGCAGCAAAUGAAGACGAGCAAUCUUGUGAUAUCACGGGUGUUGCACCGGGACUCGGGGAAUUAUACAUGCGCUGCAGAUAAUUCAAAUUCCGACAGCGUUUUUGUGCAUAUCAUCAAGAGUGAGCAGCAUGCGGCCAUGCAACACGAGCUUGCCACACGCAUGCAGACGCCGCGAAUGAUGCUGGUACUGCUGGCGUUCUUCUAUGUGAGUUGAUUAUUCGAGCGUGCAAUCAAAUGAAGAGAACGCAGCAUGUGCAGAUGCGCUAUGGAUUACUAUAAUUUAGAUAAAAAUUAAGGAUUAGCAACAAAAACAAUAAGAAAACAAUUGAAACUAUUGAAUAAGCAACAAAAACGAUACUACGAAUAAAUAGGUUUUACAUUAGCAACAGCCUAGCUGUUCACGCGCAUUUGUAAUCGAGAGGCCACGGUGGAGAGACACCUGUGAAGUUACUUCACAUUCCGCCCAGCCGUUUGCGACGGAACAAUUGCCGAAGCGAAACGAACGAAGACAACGAAUGUGCGCUGAGUUAAUCGAAGGGAGGGACGCUUGCGCGCUUUUGUCGCCGCUGCUGCAGCUCAAUUCUCGUACAUUUGUAUGCACAAGAGACUUGAUAACUGUUAGUUGUUCUUAUAGCUGUAACUAGUCCUUUACUUGCCGUCAUUUCUGCAUUUUAAUUGACAAUUUCCUCGUUUUUAUUCGAUUUGGGUUUCUUAGUAUUAAUGUGAUGUAUGGUAUGUAUUCUUGUGCAUUAUAUUUCACUUGUAAAUGUAGUAAAUUAUAAAUUAUUUGUAAGUAUUUUUGUACUUAAUAAUAUCGGAUAAGUUUAGGUUCUAAUUCGACGCAUCUACAUGUAAGUGAAACAAUACUGACAGUAAAUCAAAAGUGUAAAUCAAUGUGUACAUAUACAAAUAUAAAACA